UCGACGGAACCCUUCGGGGGGAAGUCGACGGAAUGAGCGGCGGACGGGUGAGUAACACGUAAAGAACCUGCCCUCAGGUCUGGGAUAACCACGAGAAAUCGGGGCUAAUACCGGAUGGGUCAUCGGACCGCAUGGUCCGAGGAUGAAAGGCGCUUCGGCGUCGCCUGGGGAUGGCUUUGCGGUGCAUUAGCUAGUUGGUGGGGUAAUGGCCCACCAAGGCGACGAUGCAUAGCCGACCUGAGAGGGUGAUCGGCCACACUGGGACUGAGACACGGCCCAGACUCCUACGGGAGGCAGCAGUAGGGAAUCUUCCACAAUGGACGAAAGUCUGAUGGAGCAACGCCGCGUGAACGAUGAAGGCCUUCGGGUCGUAAAGUUCUGUUGUAAGGGAAGAACAAGUGCCGCAGGCAAUGGCGGCACCUUGACGGUACCUUGCGAGAAAGCCACGGCUAACUACGUGCCAACAGCCGCGGUAAUACGUAUGUGGCAAGCGUUGUCCGGAAUUAUUGGGCGUAAAGCGCGCGCAUGCGGCCUCUUAAGUCUGAUGUGAAAGCCCCCGGCUCAACCGGGGAGGGCCAUUGGAAACUGGGAGGCUUGAGUAUAAGAUACAAGAGUGGAAUUCCACGUGUAGCGGUGAAAUGCGUACAGAUGUGGAGGAACACCAGUGGCGAAGGCGACUCUUUGGCCUAUAACUGACGCU
rnacentral:rRNA from 1 species